rnacentral:lncRNA from 1 species
ACACUAAUUAGUGUUUUAACUAGUUCUAAACUACAAAGUCACUUGUAGUUCUUUUUACGUAGACACUGGGGAUUGUGGGAGUUGGAGUUUGGUAGCCAUUUUGUUUAGACGGAUCACUCCUUACUUCUCUUCAGACACUGUGCAAAUUGUUACAGUCAUCUAUAUCUAGCUACUCUUCUACAUAUAAAUAUAUAUUUAUUGAUGUGUUUGCAUAUACUUUAGAACAUAUCUGUAGUAGACUGUCGGGCGUAACUAUGAUCUUUCUGGACAUCUUUCAACAGAAUGAAAAGGAGAGAAAGAUACACAGAAAUGAAAGUGUUGGCCGGCAAUCUGAGACAGUUUAGACUCACAAAACAAAUGAUGCAUCACACCUUCAUAGGAACCCUAGUUAGGAUAAAAGACAUGAUGAACCACCCUACAUAGAAACCCCUAUUAGGAUAACAGACAUGAACCACCCUACAUAGGAACCCUAGUUAGGAUAACAGACAUGAUGAACCACCCUACAUAGGAACCCUAGUUAGGAUAAAUCCUUUUAGGGCUAGGGGGCAGUAUUUUCACUUUUGGAUGAAAAGCGUGCCCAGAGUAAACGGCCUAAUACUCCGGCCCAGAGUCAAAUAUUUGCAAAUGAUUAGUAGAUUUGGAUAGAAAACACUCUAAAGUUUCCAAAACUGUUUGAAUGAUGUCUGUGAGUAUAACAGAACUCAUAUGGAAGGCAAAAACCUGAGAGAAAUCCAACCAGGAAAUGAAAUUCUGGUUCCUGUAGUUUUCUCAAGUCCUUGCCUUUCUGACACACAGUGAGUUAGGACUCAAAUAGCACUUCCUAAGGAUUCCACUAGAUGUCAACAGUCUUAGAAAGUUGUUUGAGCCUUUUGCGGUAAACACAGACCGAAGGAGAACGCUGGUAAGCAGGUGACCAGAAAAACACUUCAGUUCACAGGGCGCGUUCACGUUAGCAGAUACCUGCGUUCCAAAACAUUUUUCAAGACAAUGCAUGGGUCCGGUUGGAAUGUAUUGAAGUUUGAACUUAAAAUGGCCCUAAAGAUUGAUGCUAUACAACGUUUGACAUGUUUGAACGAACGUAAAUAGUACUUUUUU